UACGUAGGGUGCGAGCGUUGUCCGGAAUUAUUGGGCGUAAAGAGCUCGUAGGCGGCUUGUCGCGUCGGAUGUGAAAGCCCGGGGCUUAACCCCGGGUCUGCAUUCGAUACGGGCAGGCUAGAGUUCGGUAGGGGAGAUCGGAAUUCCUGGUGUAGCGGUGAAAUGCGCAGAUAUCAGGAGGAACACCGGUGGCGAAGGCGGGUCUCUGGGCCGGUACCGACGCUGAGGAGCGAAAGCGUGGGGAGCGAACAGG
rnacentral:rRNA from 1 species